AAGUGGUGAGUGAUAUUAAAUUAUUUGGAUAGAUGUUGAAUUUAUCUAGUUUAUUUCCAUGUGAUGGGAAGGAAAGAAAAAUGGUUAUGGUUUGAUAGCGGUGUGCGGGUGUGAAUCUCAGACUCAAAUUCAGCAGUAGAGCACAUGGUAGCUGCAAAUUCCAACCAUCACCAUGCCUUCCAAUUCCUCCUCACUUCACUGCAAAUUCCAGACCUUAGCGUGCCAAACAAAUCCCAACCUUGAUCAAAAGGAUACCCCUACCACGGAUGAAGAAAAACUUGUGGUCGAGCCCAGCCAUACAAAAACUUCACUUCCUCAAUUGCCCGCCAAAGACAUCAACAACAAAAUCUCACUUGUUCUACCUUAGCGGCUUUGGGCCUUUUCUUGUCUACGAGGUUGGAUUUCGGUGUUUCCCUCAAAGAUCUCUCUGCCAUUGCAAUGCCUUACGAAGAGGCUCUCUCCAAUGGGAAGCCCACUGUGGUGGAGUUUUAUGCAGAUUGGUGUGAGGUAUGCCGGGAAUUUGCUCCUGACGUCUACAAAGUAGAGCAGCAAUUCAAGGAUCAAGUUAAUUUUGUGAUGUUGAAUGUUGAUAAUACAAAGUGGGAGCAAGAGCUUGACGAGUUUGGCAUGGAGGGUAUUCCACACUUUGCAUUCCUUGAUAAAAUAGGCAAUGAGGAGGGCAAUGUUGUGGGUAGGCUUCCAAGACAGUACUUGCUUGAAAAUGUCGAUGCCCUUGCUCGUGGAGAAACAUCUGUUCCUCAUGCUCGUGUUGUAGGUCAAUAUUCAAAUGCUGAGGCAAGGAAGGUGCAUCAAGUUGCUGAUCCAAGACGUCAUGGUUAGAUGACCACAUAUACAGUACCUUCUUUUACUGUUUCUCAGGAACUGGUUUUAUUUGUCAGUGAGCAUACAACUCAUUGACCUUGUUUCUUACCCUUCACAAGCAUACUAUGUUAUAAACAUUGUGCGAGUCUGUCAUAGAUUAGGAUCCGAAUCUAGAUAUCAACCAAAAUUGUUAGUUCAAAUGUGUCUAUAUUCUGGCAAUCUUGUUAUAGGUGAAGAUGCACUUGAAUGUUUACAAGUCUGCUAAUCUACUCGUCAUCUGUUUUAUAACAAUUUAUAUUUGCCCGCGGCUCACUAUCUAAAUGCAUGGAAUUCUUAGUUUAUCA